ACCAUUGUAGCUUAAUGAUUAAAAGCAUGGCAUUGAAGAUGCCAAGACAGACGUUUAAUGUAUCUCGAUGGUA
rnacentral:tRNA from 1 species